rnacentral:rRNA from 1 species
GGUUGAUCCUGCCAGUAGUCAUAUGCUUGUCUCAAAGAUUAAGCCAUGCAUGUCUAAGUAUAAGCUUGUUUAUACGGCGAGACUGCGGAUGGCUCAUUAAAUCAGUUAUAGUUUAUUUGAUGGUCUCUUUAAUCUCUUUUACCUACUUGGAUAACCGUGGUAAUUCUAGAGCUAAUACAUGCGCAAGGUCCCAAGCGCGGAGAGUAGGGCUUCACGGCUUUAUUCUUGCAUGCGCAGAGGGAUGUAUUUAUUAGGUUAAACAACCAGCAUUUUCAAUCAUCUGGUGAUUCAU